AGGAAGUGACCUCACUGGGUGCGCGCCUUCCUCGCUCUGCUUCUCCACCCGCCCUGGGAACCGUUUUCCUCUGCCCAGUGGGGGCUGGUGCUCAGCCUGGCCCCGCUCCCAGGGCAAGCAGCUCGCAGGAGUGGGCUAGACGGGUCGGCUUCCUCCCUUGCCCCAGAGAACACUUCGUUUUUUCUUAGAGGAAGAGGCUUCCAGCUCUCCUGCCUUCUGCUUUCCCAUGGCCGAAGCGACUCCUCGGGAGGCAGAAAUGGAUGGACCUCCCGGCAUGUGAAGGAAAUUGCCCCUGGUAUGGCCAUGCCCGUGUCUGGCUGCGUCUCCGGUUCCUUGGGAUUUGGCUUGGCCUCCGUCACGAGGGCUAAUGUCACCCUCAUAAGCUGUUUCUUCCUGAACUCAUCGGAAGUCAGGGGUCGGAGGAGACCCUCGGAGAUGAUUUGAGGUUCAUCCAGGUCGUGGCGCCCUGGGGGAGAAAGCCCCACUGGGGGAGCUUAGUACCCGCACCGCGCGGGUUGGGGGGGGGGCGGCUGCCUGAGCUUCUGCCAGGUGCCCCUCUGAGGCCAUUCCCUGUGCACUCUGCGGGGAAGGGGAAGACGUCGGGUCUGGGAGCUGCUGUAUGUACUAAGGCCCUGAUCCUGAGGUAGUGCACCAAGUCCACAGCCAACCCUUUCUAUCUCGAUGACUUGUGAAGCAGUACUACCCUCCUGCCUUCAUUAUGUCCAGCUGGAACCUGAGGGGAACUCUGCGCCUGGAGACCUGGGAGCUUGCCCUUGUCCUGGUUUCUGUUCAACCCUGAUCAAGGCUCUGCCUGGAGUUCCCGCGGCUGUUGCUCCUUAAAUGGACGCACUGGGCGUUGGGGAUGGGGAGGGGAAGGGGAGCUCACGUUAACAUUCCAAGUCCCAACUCGAGGGAGGACGGUUGCCAAACCCGUACGUUGAACUCCUAACCCCCAAAUUCUAGAAUGUGCGAGGAGUUGAGUCCUUUAAGAGUGACUUAAAAUGAGGCUGUAAGGGUGGUCCCUACCCAAUUUUAGUGGUGUCAUGAGGGUCAGGCCCCACAGAUGGUUCCCAAGGGCACACAGGCCCAGUGGGGAAACACAGAAAGGGCCAACUGUAGGCUGUAGGCCCAGGAGGCGGGGUCAUAUGGGACCUUUCCAGAGCUGACUAGAGCUUUGCCUUCAUGGAUGCAACCACCCAUGAAUUCAGUGGAUUAAUGCAGCGUCUUAACAGUGGACCUGCUGUUAAGGCCAGUUUGAUCCGGUCUUUUGCGUGUGAUGCCCUACACUGCCUAGGGACUCUGUUAGCAAGGGCAUUGCCACAUGCCUUGACCUUGUACCAGAGCCAUGAGCCAAAACAAUACUACAUACGAGAGCCGUGGUCUUGUGUUACCAGCAACAGAAAAUGCACUCAGACAAGUGUUCAUAUUUGAGGAUCCUAUCCGGAUACCAGGGACUCAGAAAAUGCCUUUCUCAUACUUUUCUGUAAAAUAAAAGACUGGAAGAGUG